UGGAGGAGGCUGGCGGUGAAGGAGGGCCUCUGGAGGAGGCCGGCGACGAAGGAGCAGCAGCCUUGGGGGCCGCCGUCUCCGGAACAGCCUCAGAGGAGGCUUGGAGCGCCCGCUGAGGGGCCUUGGAGUGACCGAAUGUGGACUCCGUGGUGAUGGCAGCUUGCCUCCUCCAGAACUUCUCGCUGAGUAGAAGGGAGAACCAGCAGCUGCUGGGUGAGGGCCAGGAGGAUGGACGUAGGAUACGGCCUGUUGGCAAUAUGGCUGGACGACGCACAUCGGCUGAAGCCACAGCUGCCAGGGAUGUCUUGUGCACCUACUUCAACUCUCCAGGAGGGAGUGUACGAUGGCAAAAUAGAAAGCUGUGAAAGCUGCAUCCUGCUGUGAUUUACAGAUUGAAAUAAAAAAUCUGUAAACCUCA